UACUGAUGGAGAGGCCUUGCCCUCCUAUACAGGGCUUCUGUGGAUGGGACAGGGCCUCCCCUGCUCCUGAGCAGCCACUGGCUCCAUUGGAGCUAAAUUCCUAGCAUCCAGGUAGUCCUGGGACAUUCUGCCUUUGCUCUGUAAAUGAGGAGGCCUUUUCUCCUGCUGACUUGGAGGUUCCUUCCCUUCACUGCUUUGUCCUGUAUUCAUCAGGCAAAUUCAAAAUCAUGCAUUUAAACUCUUAGGAAAACAAAAUCUUAAAACUGACACAGAUAUCGGGGUGCUAAUCAACUAACAAAUCUUGGUUCUUACAUAAUUUGAACUUGAAAGGAUACCACACUGAACUCUGUUCUUUCCUCCCUCCUCACCUCACUCCCUGCAGGGAGCUCAAUGCCCAUGUGGAAGCGGUUGGCAUCCCCAAGUGGGAGGGAGUGGGGCGUCCUACCAUCUUCUAAUGUGACUUCAAGGGACAGUGCAAAUGUUGAAUGCAGAGCUUCACUCUAAUGUGGAACAGUAACUGUGAGUAUAUUACCCGUGCUGUCCUCAGCACUGUACACUAAAGGACCAGCUUUUCCAAGUCUAGGAAAACAAUGGUAGAAACAAAUAGAAAUACAUUUUCCCUAGUAAAUAGAGCAAUAGGAAUUGGAGCUAAGCAGGGACCAUGAACUCCUGCCCUGAAAUCCUCUCUCCAGGUUGAGGAACAGACCUGUGUAGGCCCUGGCUGAUCAAGCCUGUGUCCUGGCUGGUAAAAACACAACCACCUCUGUCAUCAUCUGAAGCCAGCGGGGAUCUGUAGCCAUCCUCGCAUUGCCUAGACCCAGGAAGGUGAGGUCUCCUGGGCAACCAGCAUUGCCCCCAUUGUUCCCCAAGGGUGACCCUAGGCAGAUGACUCACCUGGGUGGCCCAGGAAGGUGCUCACCUUGUUCUCUGGGGCUCCAAGCAACAGCGGGCCAGGGAGGGCUGGCUUUGCACACUAUGUUGCAUGACCCAGGCCCCCUGGUGGCAUGAGAAAAACUCCCCUCUGCUGUUGAGCCCAGGUAGGGGCUUUUCUUUGCAAAGGGUUGAGGAGAUAUUCAAGACUGAGCUGGCAGGUUAGGGUCCAGGAGGCCUGUGAGGUACCAUUGCUUACUUCCUGAGGAAACUGGCUCUUGUCCUGGGCCACGUAGUUCCAUGUUGGGCUCCAGGCUAGUGGUGCUUCUGUCCGUCAAGGGUGUCUGGGUGAAUUGUAUGUUAACCUGGAAUUGGUAGGGAUAUUGGGGGUUGAAUAGCAAAGUGAUUUGGGGAUUCAGAAAGUUUUCUGAUAUAAUUUUAUCAAUGAGCAAUUUCUCAGUGGAUUUUUAUACCUCAGGGCCGUUUGCAAAUCUUUAGCUUUUCGUAUUUCUUAGGUGUUGAAGUUGGUUAAUAGGAGAGAGACGUUCGCAGACUUCUAAGUUGAGGUUCAUUUGCCUCCAUUUGAGGGGUGAGUGGUGCACCAAGGCUGAGCUUGCCGCCGUUACUUAGCAAGGCUGUGACAGGCGAGCCUUCCUCCUCUAGCACUUGCAAGCUUUCUGUCUCAAUCACGGUUUGCUUGCUUGUUUCCCUUUUGCUACCUUCUUUCCUAUCUGAAGAUUCAUAUUCCAGAGUCCCUGGUCAACCCUACGGACGCGAAGAGGGGAUGGCAGUGCACAGCAGCUGCAGAGUAGGGAGCAGCUUUCCUCCCGCCAUCCUAGGCUGGGGCCUUCUUUGCUUCUCAGACCACUGUGGUUGGCGCAGCUCAAGGAAGCCUUCUCUCUGUGUGCUACAGCCAUAGCCAUCAUCUCUACUAGAAUUGUUCUAAAUAUCUUUUGAUGGGAAAUACCAGGUUGAACUUGAAGCAACAUGGAAACAAAGGUUCUAGCUGCAAGAGAGUAAAGUUCUAGGUGUUCGUAUGCCAAGGUUUAUAUGUACACAGAUCUAACACAUACUGUAAGAAGGACUUGACUACACAAGGUUUUCAGGUUUUCAUACCCAUUGGGACCAUGAACAGAUGAGAAUGACUGGGAGUAUUGUCUUGCCUUGUUUGGAAGGAUACCUUCUGGCAUGUGCCCACAUCUGAUCCACAUGGAUUCACUUUUAGGAUACAGUUCUUUAGGGGGCAGAUUCCUCUGCAGAUUCACCCUGAAGAGAACUAUCCAGUGGACCUGGUGGCGCUUGGGUGCCUGCCCUUUUUAUUGGAGGCUCAGGCUUCCAGAGCAGAGUGAAGUUGGAAAGAAUGAAGUCUUAGGAUUCUUAUUUCCCAGAGAGCCCCAGCCUAGCUUCUGAUUCAUUACUUCCCAAGUCUGAAGUCUACUGUGAAGGUGAAGUUAUCCAUUUUUUCUUGUUUCUGGAGUCCUUUAAACCCACAAGUAUAUAUGCUUUAUUUUAUAUUAUUUAUUAUGUACAUAUGCCUGGUAGUACUUCAUCUGUGACUAGGACAAAAUCUAUCUUGAAGCUUCCUCAUCCAUGGAUCCUAGGGUUCUGCUAUCCCUUAAAGCAGGUGAAAGGGUAGUGCUUUUUGUUUUAAAAAAGAGGUUGCUGCUUUUAUGUUGGCCUAGCUUCCCCAGCCCCUUUAGUUGGGCCCACCUGUAUUCUUCAGGUCCCGUGUUUUGGAUGAGGAUGGAGGCAGGUCUACCUUGUGGCAAGGCCUCUCAAGUACCUCCAUGAAAUGUUUCUGAGGUGGUUUCUUGGUGAUAGGCUCUCUUCCCCUGUGCAGGGCAGAGUCUAGCUGAGUCUACAGCCUCCUUCCUCCCAAAGCAGGUCAGUUGCCUGGCCCAACAAGGUUAAUGGUUUCUUCUGCUUACCUUGGACUGCAGAAUCUAUCUUUCUGGAUAAUGGAAGCUGCCUGCCCAUCUGGGCUUAGUAUGCCUUUUCUUGGUUUUAAGGCCCAGUGCCAACAUUGCCUUGGCCCUCAAGACCCUGCUUUGUGUCUGACUUUCAUCCUUCUCAGCCUUUAUUCACUGUAUCAUAGUGUACAGUUCAUGCAUUUGAGCAGUGAAGUUUUCUGAACACAGUAUGCAGAGCUGUGUACAUAAACCUAAAUAAGCACAAAUGACAUGUAUAGGAUUAAUAAGCUGAUUGUCAUAAUGAAUGCAUUUUAUAAUUCAAAUGAUGUUGUAGAUGUACAAUCUCUCCUAUUUAUUUUGUACCAAUUUAUUUGUAAAUUUUGUGAUUGUUUUACAAGGUUUUUGUUAUUUCUAUUCUAUUUAGAUAAAAGAUGUUCUGUUCACCCUUCUAGCAGACGUGUGUUCCCUCUUCCCUUUCAUCUAUGCAACACCAACCAUGCCAUUGUGUUCAGCCUGGCUGAACCAACUGCCCUGCCCACUUGCCUGGCUUUGCUGGUGGAAAAGCUGGGACUGGACCUCAGCAUGGCAACAUAGAAGAGCAUAUUCUUUGGACAGUGUGAAGUCUUAAAAGAAAUACCUAGCAGUGCGAGAACAGUGUGGCGUGCUGCGUUCCUGUCGGGAGGUGUGUGCCGGGCAGUGUGGGUUUCUGCUUUCUGGCUGCCUGUGCCUGUGGUCAUCCCUGCUUCUUAGCAGUAGUGCAUGUUUUUCUUCCAUCAUCCUCAAGGUUGCUCUGGUAGAGAUUUCAUUCUCAGGGCCUCCCAAAAGUUGUGUAUCAUUUGAAAUUGUUCUAUUUGAGGAAAACCUUUAAGAAAAGCUGGAUUCUCUGGUCACCAAUAAAGAUCCUCAUGAGAAACAAAAGUAUUUAAGCCCUAAACUACAAAGCCAAGUGAGGAAUUGGAGUGUCAACUGUAUGGCAAUAGCUAGAUCAUAGUUACCAUUUUUCCCACCAUCAAAGAGAUUAAAUAGUUUCCAUAACAUGGAAUUUGGAUAAGGUUCCUACCCUAAUACAGACUUAAAUAUGCAGUUGUUUGUCUCAGGCUAUUUGUGGUGAAUAAGCAGAGUAUUUAUUUAAAAAUGACCAAGCAGCCCUGGAAAAAUUGCUGGGCUUUAAAGUUGUUGACAAAGUAUUUCUUAAAUAAAUAUGUCUGAUUUAGAAAUAUCUAAACAUGGACAACACAAUUUUUAAAUCUGACAUGCAAUUGCAUGUGGCUUUUAUAAGUGGUUCCUUAAAAACAAUGCUAAUGUGACUUAAGGAUUUGUAGUUCUAUUAAAAACCACUUCUAAAAGUAUCUUAGGGUAGCUUGAAAAGUCUGCCUUAUUAUUUUAGGUCUCAGCAGAGCUAUGCUUAUGGCAAAAGGAAAUAUCUUAGGUCUAAACAGAACACUGAACUUUCUUGGCUGUGACCAACUUUUCUGAAGUUCACCAUGAGUUUUCACUGACAAUCUUUGCAGAGAUGAUGUACUGAGCAAUUCCUCUCCCCAAGGAAACCCAGCAGGGCCUGGGUCUGCUGUACCUCUGACCAGCUGCUGGGGAGGCGAGGCUCCCUGUUAGUCAGUACAUACUGUAAGGUUGGGAGCUCCAUCUAGCACCCAAGAAGGGGCUGCCUGGUGUUCUACAAUGCCUGUAAAUGGUGUUUUCAAAAUGCCUAGGAAAAAAUUCGGUAAAGAGAUGGCAGACUGUUCGUCUCAUGGUGUAAAACUCCUCAGAAUUUUUUUUUCAAAGGAAAAGUAUACCUUUUAAGUUCAACUUCCUUAACUACUGGCAACAGAGAGAAGUUCCUAAUUUAUGUUUUAAAUUAGGCACCAUUUUGCUGUGGGUUUUGUGGAAUCCUAGAGCUCCUUAAUAGUACAUUUCGGUGGUCCUAGGGAGAGUUGUGACUAGCAGUGGAGUUCUUAUUCCAGCUGGUUGUGUGCUUUUCACUUUCCUGUCUUUGGACCCAGAGAAUCAUUUGCCAUGGAAUCAUCUGGCUAGUAAGAGACACUUAUAUGGAUGUAACACAAGAAGUGGUAAAUCAAAGCCAUCAUGUGGCCGUAAAAGGGACAAUAUGUAAAUAUACUUACUAUGAUAAGGUAGCUCUGUAGAUGUAAUAUAUUCAUAAAGUAUUUGGGUUUAAGAAAACUUGGGACUAUUUUAAACUGGGACAUCUCCAUCUUGAAUGAUAAUAAUUAGUAAUUGGGAUGACCACACAGUCUCCUAACAUGGGCAACAGUCUAAUUGCUAUUGCAAUUGCAUUUCUGACCUGAUUCUUUUAAAGGGGCAUAUAUUCCCAAUAGAUACCAUUUAGAAUGUAUGUUUCUUGGAUGACUUAUUCUAAAGCCAUAUAUAUCCAAAGUAGUGAGGCUAUACUACUAAGUAAUCGGGCUAUGUUCCCUGCUUAUAAAAUGAAUUUUUUUUUAAAAGCCUCACUUCACAGUCUGUUACAAAAAACUUUAUGGGGAAAAAACUGUGAGGCCUAUGAAAUACCACGAAUAUAAUCAUGUUAUAUCAGUUCUUGAAUAUUUCUUUUUAACCAAAAGAGAUCCGGGAACGUUUUCACAUUCCUUGAAAAUACAUAUUUCCUUUAAGAGAAUGUCAAACUGAUGUUACUACACCAAAUCUAAACCCACCUGAAGACCAAUAGCUGUUACAGUUGUGCUACAGAAUAGGUCAAAGUCAGCAUUAGAAAUAUUACACUUUAUUGAAUUCUAGAGCAGCUAAUCUACCCUCCCCUGUUGACCAAUGACAAGAAUAGAAGAAAAUAUAUGAUGGCUAAACUAAGAGUCUAUAUAACCAGUUUAAGAUGUUGGAACAACUUUCACUGUACUGGUGAAACAGUUUUAAUACCCUAACAUAUACAGUAACGAUUCAUUCUUGUUUAAAACAAGAAGUGAUUUCGACUUGGGAUUUUUUUUCUUGAGGGGUUUCAUUCUUGUUGCCCAGGCUGGAGUGCAAUGGCAUGAUCUUGGCUCACUGCAAACUCCAUUUCCCAGGUUCAAGCAAUUCUCCUGCCUCAGCCUCCCAAGUAGCUGGGAUUACAGGCAUGAGCCACCACGGCCAGCUAAUUUUGUAUUUUUAGUAGAGACGGGAUUUCUCCAUGUUGGUCAGGCUGGUGUCAAACUCCCGACCUCAGGUAAUCUGCCAACUGGCCUCCCAAAGUGUUGGGAUUGUAGGCGUGAGCCACCGCGCCUGGCCUCGACUUGGGAUUCUGAGUGAAUUUAUUCAAACUGAUUGUGCUCUCUGCUUUAGUAAGGUUCUGGCUUACAGAGCCCUCUUAAUGUUCAACUUUAAUAUACAGCAGUCAACUCUAGAGGAUAAAGAAAUCUGGAAUUGGGUAGCAUGAGCCACAGCUAUAUAGCCCACACUGAUGAAUGUUCUACUGUAGGAUAAGAAGGAAGUUCCUCCCUUUCUUUUCUGGGGACUUGUUCCUUUGUCCUCUUACAGCUAAAUUCUUUCCAUAGAUUUAUCACAGAUAAGGAAAAGGUUGUUUUUGGAUAACAAAUAAUAAGCAUUUGUGCCAAUAACAAAAAAAGUAUAAAGAAUACUGUCUUUUCCCUCAAAAUUGAAUCCUACCCUAAAGCAAGUAGAGAAUACAUCUGUACAAAGCCACUGAUUGAUAGAGGCAGCCUUGCCAGAGUCACUGAGGAUGAUUUAAAGGCUUAUAAAAAGGAAACUUGACCUUAACAGAGACUACAGCUGAUCAUGGAUAUAAUAUAUUUCUCCACUGAUGAUAUACAAUACACCAUGUAAUGCACUGAAAAAGGUGGCUCUUGGAGUUAUAGCACAAUUUGUAACAUUACAGCAUUUCAGAUCACCUCUUCCCACUCUUUGUUCUACUCUGAGACCCUUCACCACCCCUUGUGUAUCUAGAUGCACUAUGACAUACUGAUGAUUUU